rnacentral:rRNA from 1 species
UACGUAGGGGGCGAGCGUUGUCCGGAUUUAUUGGGCGUAAAGAGCGUGUAGGCGGCCAGGUAGGUCUGCUGUGAAAACUCGAGGCUCAACCUCGAGACGUCGGCGGAAACCAUCUGGCUAGAGUCCGGAAGAGGAGAGUGGAAUUCCUGGUGUAGCGGUGAAAUGCGCAGAUAUCAGGAGGAACACCCAUUGCGAAGGCAGCUCGCUGGGACGUUCCUGACGCUGAGACGCGAAAGCGUGGGGAGCAAACAGG